CCUACGGGCGGCAGCAGUCGAGAAUCAUUCACAAUGGGGGAAACCCUGAUGGUGCGACGCCGCGUGGGGGAAUGAAGGUCUUCGGAUUGUAAACCCCUGUCAUGUGGGAGCAAAUUAAAAAGAUCGUACCACAAGAGGAAGAGACGGCUAACUCUGUGCCAGCAGCCGCGGUAAUACAGAGGUCUCAAGCGUUGUUCGGAAUCACUGGGCGUAAAGCGUGCGUAGGCUGUUUCGUAAGUCGUGUGUGAAAGGCGCGGGCUCAACCCGCGGACGGCACAUGAUCCUGCGAGACUAGAGUAAGGGAGGGGGAACCGGAAUUCUCGGUGUAGCAGUGAAAUGCGUAGAUAUCGAGAGGAACACUCGUGGCGAAGGCGGGUUCCUGGACAUUAACUGACGCUGAGGCACGAAGGCCAGGGGAGCGAAAGGGAUUAGAUACCCCAGUAGUC
rnacentral:rRNA from 1 species